UCUCGUAGCUUGCUAUGAGAACAAUUAGUGGCAGACGGGUGAGUAAUGCAUAGGAAUCUACCUAGUAGUAUAGGAUAGCCACUAGAAAUGGUGGGUAAUACUGUAUAAUCCCUGCGGGGGAAAGAUUUAUCGCUACAUGAUGAGCCUAUGUUAGAUUAGCUAGUUGGUGGGGUAAUGGCCUACCAAGGCAGUGAUCUAUAGCUGGUCUGAGAGGGUGAUCAGCCACACUGGAACUGAGACACGGUCCAGACUCCUACGGGAGGCAGCAGUGGGGAAUAUUGGACAAUGGGCGCAAGCCUGAUCCAGCUAUGCCGCGUGAGUGAGGAAGGCCUUAGGGUUGUAAAACUCUUUCAGUGGGGAAGAUAAUGACGGUACCCACAGAAGAAGUCCCGGCAAACUCCGUGCCAGCAGCCGCGGUAAUACGGAGGGGGCAAGCGUUGUUCGGAAUUAUUGGGCGUAAAGGGCAUGUAGGUGGUUUGGUAAGUUAAAGGUGAAAUGCCAGGGCUUAACCCUGGAGCUGCUUUUAAUACUGCCAGACUGGAGUCCGGGAG
rnacentral:rRNA from 1 species